rnacentral:lncRNA from 1 species
GGGGGGGAGAGCAGCGGCGGCAGCGGCCUAGUGGUGGUAGGCCUUGCGCUUGGCAUCGCUCCAGAAGGUGGUGUCGGACCAGUCCUUGUGCUUCUUGUUCUUCUUGUCGGCGUGCUUGUACUUCUUCUUGUGGUCCUGGUCGUCGUCAUCCUCGUCGUCCUCGUCCUCGUCAUGGUCCUUCUUCUUCUUGUAGUCGUCGUCGUCCUCAUCGUCGUCCUCCUCCUGGUACUUGUGGUGCUUCUUCUUCUUGUAGUCCUUCUUCUUGUGGUCGUCGUCGCUGUCGUCCUUGUUGUCGAUGGCCUUGUGGACGGCCUUGUAGACCAACUUCUCGAUCAGGCACUCGUCGAUGACGGCGUCCUCGCCCUUGGGGCCGCGAGGUCCGCGCGGGCCGCACUCGCCCUGGUCGCCCUUGGGUCCCUUGGGGCCGCGCGCGCCCGGGCAGCCGUCCUCGCCCUUGGGGCCACGAGGACCCUUGUCGCCCUUUUCGCCCUUGGGGCCACGCGCGCCGUCGCAGCCGUCCUUGCCCUUGGGGCCCUUGGGUCCACACGGGCCGCAGGGUCCGCACUUGCCGCAGUCGCCCUUGGCGCCCUUGUCGCCCUUGUCUCCCUUUUCGCCCUUGGGACCCUUGUCGCCCUUCUCGCCCUUGGGACCGCGAGGUCCGUGGCAGCCGGGUUCGCCCUUGGGGCCGCGAGGCCCACAGGGUCCGCAAGGUCCGCACUUGCCGCACGGGCCGGGAGCGCCCUUGUCGCCCUUGGGGCCACGAGGACCCUGGCAGCCGUCCUCGCCCUUGGGGCCGCGAGCGCCCUUGUCGCCCUUUUCGCCCUUGGGGCCGCGCUCGCCGUCGCAGCCGUCCUUGCCCUUGGGGCCGCGAGGACCCCGAGGGCCGCAGGGGCCGCACUUGCCGCAGUCACCCUUGGGACCGCACGGGCCGCACUUGCCACAGUCGCCCUUGGGUCCCUUGGGGCCGCGAGGACCGACGGGCCCGCGCACGGCGCACACCUUGAUGCACUUCUUGUCGGGACACUUGUCAUAGUCGUGCUCGUCGCUGUCGUCAUCGUCGUGCUUCUUGUGCGCCUUCUUGGCGUCGUAGUGCUUGACGUCCUUCUUCUUGUUGUAAUAGUCCUUCUCCUCGUCGUCCUCGUCGUCCUCGUCAUCGUGCUUGUAGGCGACGCUGCGGUCCUCCGAGUACCAGUCGUCAUCGCGCUUGUAGGCGGCGUGCUUCUUGUUGUAGUGGGCCAUGGCUGGGGGAGGAGGAGUGAGGGAGGUGGUGGGUGCGGUUGUCGUCGGAGGGGUGGGCGCCGAGGAGGGAUGUGUGCG